rnacentral:rRNA from 1 species
UACGGAGGGUGCAAGCGUUAUCCGGAAUCACUGGGUUUAAAGGGUGCGUAGGCGGAUUAUUAAGUCAGUGGUGAAAGCCGGUCGCUCAACGAUCGAACUGCCAUUGAUACUGAUAGUCUUGAAUUGGGUUGAGGUUAGCGGAAUGUGACAUGUAGCGGUGAAAUGCGUAGAUAUGUCAUGGAACACCAAUUGCGAAGGCAGCUAACUAGGCCUUGAUUGACGCUGAGGCACGAAAGCGUGGGGAGCAAACAGG